UACGGAAGGCAGCAGUGGGGAAUAUUGCACAAUGGGCGCAAGCCUGAUGCAGCCAUGCCGCGUGUAUGAAGAAGGCCUUCGGGUUGUAAAGUACUUUCAGUCGUGAGGAAGGUGUUAAGGUUAAUAACCUUAGCAAUUGACGUUAGCGACAGAAGAAGCACCGGCUAACUCCGUGCCAGCAGCCGCGGUAAUACGGAGGGUGCGAGCGUUAAUCGGAAUUACUGGGCUAAAGGGCACGCAGGCGGUUAAUUAAGUUGGAUGUGAAAUCCCCGGAUUAACCUGGGAAUGGCAUUCAAGACUGGUUAGCUAGAGUCUUGUAGAGGGGGUAGAAUUCCAUGUGUAGCGGUGAAAUGCGUAGAGAUGUGGAGGAAUACCGGGUGGCGAAGGCGGCCCCUGGGACAAAGGACUGACGCUCGAUGUGCGAAAGCGUGGGGAGCAAACAGGGAUUAGAUACC
rnacentral:rRNA from 1 species